ensembl:lncRNA
GGGGUGGAAAGGUAGGCCUAUUCUGUCUGGGGUGGAAAGGUAGGCCUACAAUGUCUGGGGUGGAAAGGUAGGUCCUACUCUGUCUGGGGUGGAAAGGUAGGCCCUCCUCUGUCUGGGGUGGAAAGGUAGGUCCUACUCUGUCUGGGGUGGAAAGGUAGGCCUACUCUGUCUGGGGUGGAAAGGUAGGCCUACUCUGUCUGGGGUGGAAAGGUAGGCCUACUCUGUCUGGGGUGGAAAGGUAGGCCUCCUCUGUCUGGGGUGGAAAGGUAGGUCCUACUCUGUCUGGGGUGGAAAGGUAGGCCUACUCUGUCUGGGGUGGAAAGGUAGGCCUACUCUGUCUGGGGUGGGGGUGGAAAGGUAGGCCUACUCUGUCUGGGGUGGAAAGGUAGGUCCUACUCUGUCUGGGGUGGAAAGGUAGGUCCUACUCUGUCUGGGGUGGAAAGGUAGGUCCUACUCUGUCUGGGGUGGAAAGGUAGGCUUACUCUGUCUGGGGUGGAAAGGUAGGGCAUACUCUGUCUGGG